rnacentral:rRNA from 1 species
CCUGGUUGAUCCUGCCAGUAACAUAUGCUUGUCUCAAAGAUUAAGCCAUGCAGGUCUAAGUGCACACGGCCGGUACAGUGAAACUGCGAAUGGCUCAUUAAAUCAGUUAUGGUUCCUUUGAUCGCUCCAUCCGUUACUUGGAUAACUGUGGCAAUUCCAGAGCUAAUACAUGCCAACGAGCGCCGACCCGGUCCCCCCGGGGGCCGGGGACGCGUGCAUUUAUCAGAUCCAAAACCCAUCCGGGUGCGGCGUGGGCUCCCCCUUCGGGGGUCGGGCCUCGUCCCCCGGCCGCUUUGGUGACUCUAGAUAACCUCGGGCCGAUCGCGCGCCCUCCGCGGCGGCGACGAUUCAUUCGAAUGUCUGCCCUAUCAACUUUCGAUGGUACUUUAGGCGCCUACCAUGGUGACCACGGGUAACGGGGAAUCAGGGUUCGAUUCCGGAGAGGGAGCCUGAGAAACGGCUACCACAUCCAAGGAAGGCAGCAGGCGCGCAAAUUACCCAUUCCCGACACGGGGAGGUAGUGACGAAAAAUAACAAUACAGGUCUCUUUCGAGGCCCUGUAAUUGGAAUGAGCGUAUCCUAAACCCAUGGGCGAGGACCCAUUGGAGGGCAAGUCUGGUGCCAGCAGCCGCGGUAAUUCCAGCUCCAAUAGCGUAUAUUAAAGUUGCUGCAGUUAAAAAGCUCGUAGUUGGAUCUCGGGAGUGGGCUGGCGGUCCGCCGCGAGGCGAGCCACCGCCUGUCCCGGACCCUGCCUCCCGGCGCCCCCCGGAUGCCCUUAGCUGGGUGUCCGGUACCUCGGGGCCCGGAGCGUUUACUUUGAAAAAUUAGAGUGUUCAAAGCAGGCCGCCCAGCCGCCGCUGAAUACCGCAGCUAGGAAUAAUGGAAUAGGACUCCGGUUCUAUUUUGUGGGUUUCUGGAACCCGGGGCCAUGAUUGAGAGGGACGGCCGGGGGCAUUCGUAUUGCGCCGCUAGAGGUGAAAUUCUUGGACCGGCGCAAGACGGACGAAAGCGAAAGCAUUUGCCAAGAAUGUUUUCCAUUAUCAAGAACGAAAGUCGGAGGUUCGAAGAAGAUCAGAUACCGUCGUAGUUCCGACCGUAAACGAUGCCGACCCGCGAUCCGGGGGCGUUAUUCCCAUGACCCGCCGGGCAGCGUGCGGGAAACCACGAGUCUUUGGUUCCGGGGGGAGUAUGGUUGCAAAGCUGAAACUUAAAGGAAUUGACGGAAGGGCACCACCAGGAGUGGAGCCUGCGGCUUAAUUUGACUCAACACGGGAAACCUCACCCGGCCCGGACACGGAAAGGAUUGACAGAUUGAUAGCUCUUUCUCGAUUCUGUGGGUGGUGGUGCAUGGCCGUUCUUAGUUGGUGGAGCGAUUUGUCUGGUUCAUUCCGAUAACGAACGAGACUCCGGCAUGCUAAAUAGUUACGCGGCCCCGCGCGGUCGGCGUCCCAACUUCUUAGAGGGACAAGUGGCGUUCAGCCACGCGAGAUGGAGCAAUAACAGGUCUGUGAUGCCCUUAGAUGUCCGGGGCUGCACGCGCGCCACAAUGGGCGGAUCAACGUGUGCCUACCCUGCGCCGAGAGGCGCGGGUAACCCGUUGAACCCCGCUCGUGAUUGGGACUGGGGCUUGAAACUGUUUCCCAUCAACGAGGAAUUCCCAGUAAGCGCAGGUCAUAAGCUUGCGUUGAUUAAGUCCCUGCCCUUUGUACACACCGCCCGUCGCUACUACCGAUU